GACGAACGCUGGCGGCGUGCCUAAUACAUGCAAGUCGAGCGGACGAAUCGAAAGCUUGCUUUUGAUUCGUUAGCGGCGGACGGGUGAGUAACACGUGGGCAACCUGCCCUGUAGACGGGGAUAACACCGAGAAAUCGGUGCUAAUACCGGAUAACACGAAAUGUCGCAUGACGUUUCGUUGAAAGACGGCGCAAGCUGCCGCUACAGGAUGGGCCCGCGGCGCAUUAGCUAGUUGGUGAGGUAACGGCUCACCAAGGCGACGAUACGUAGCCGACCUGAGAGGGUGAUCGGCCACACUGGGACUGAGACACGGCCCAGACUCCUACGGGAGGCAGCAGUAGGGAAUCUUCCGCAAAGGACGAAAGUCUGACGGAGCAACGCCGCGUGAGCGAAGAAGGCCUUCGGGUCGUAAAGCUCUGUUGUUAGGGAAGAACAAGUAACGCAGUAACUGGCGUUACCGUGACGGUACCUAACGAGAAAGCCACGGCUAACUACGUG
rnacentral:rRNA from 1 species